rnacentral:rRNA from 1 species
AGGAUAAACGCUGGCGGCGUGCCUAACACAUGCAAGUCGAACGCGCUUUCGGGCUUCGGUGCGAGAGCGAGUGGCGGACGGGUGAGUAACACAUGGGUACCUACCUUGGAGUGAGGGAUACCGGCGAGAAAUCGCCGACAAUACCGCAUAGGCUUCUUCACAAGGGAAGCAAAGUGACGCGAGUCACGCUUUGAGAUGGGCCUGUGGCCGAUUAGCUAGUUGGGGGGGUAACGGCUUCCCAAGGCGACGAUCGGUAGCUGGUCUGAGAGGACGAUCAGCCACACUGGGAUUGAGAACGGCCCAGACUCCUACGGGGGGCAGCAGUGAGGAAUUUUCCGCAAUGGAGGCAACUCUGACGGAGCAACGCCGCGUGCAGGAGGAAGGUUUUCGGAUCGUAAACUGCUUUUCUCGGGGACGAGCAAGGGACGGUACCCGAGGAAGAAGCCCCGGCUAACUACGUGCCAGCAGCCGC